UUUUUAAUCUAGGGGGAAAAGUAAUUAAAAUAAAAUAAAAUGUGUCUUAAUUGAUCAUCAAAGUAAAAGUUAAAAAUAGGAUUAGCUCUUAUUGCUUUUUGGAAUCUCUGUUAGUAAUAUUGCGGAUCGAGGAAGAAAAUUCGAAAUUUUUAACGAAAUUUUAAGGGCUCAGUGGCCAACUUGACGCAACUUCACAGCUUUGGUGAAUGCUUGGUCUUAUUCCUGGUCGAAUAAUUUUGCGUCCACAAUUUCUGUUGAUCUUUGGAGAUUAAAGAUUCUAAAUUCGCCAGCUGUGAAAACAAAGUGGUUUCUUUUGACUGUAACAAUGUUGCUUCUCAGAAAACGCCGUAAAAGUAUGUUAACUGUAUUAUUUUAUAUUAAAAUGUUUUAAUAUACUUGCACUAAUUGUAAGUUUAUUUCAAUAAGAAAUUUUUAAUGUAAAACGUCUCAUAUUUUUAUAUACAAUAUAGACAACUUGUGUCCUUUAUUUUUAUUUUUUUGAUAAAUUAAUAUACAUUUUUAUAGUGUUUUUUUUACAAUGAAAAGGGAGAGUUACAUUAGUAAUUUUGAAUAAAGUUUGAAAUUAUCACUUCUUAAUAUGAUAUAAUGGAAAAUUAAAAUUGUAUUUUUACAACAAUAUAUUAUGUAGUACAAUAAAGAUUUUUUAAAUUUAAUAUAUUAAAUCGUACAUCUAUAUAAAUUCCAUUGUUUUAAUACGAUAAGAACCGUGCAUUUUAUUUACUACUGAAGUCGUGGUCGAUGCAGAGAACAACUAUUUUAAUUCACGGUACAAUAACAUCAGCACAAUGCUGCGAGUAUUUAUUUUGUUUUUUUCGCCGCAAUAACGAUCGCAAAAAAUUACCGAUGAAAAAAAUCUCGCCGAUUACAAACGGAAACGCGACGUUAAUUGAAAAGUUCCGUGCGAAAGGAAAAAAAAAGAAUGGAGAAAAAUAUGCGAAAGAGACAUGGGCUUUUAUUUGCUGAAUUUAUCCCAGAAAAUGCGGCUAUAUCAAUUGUGAAUUUAAAAAGUUAUUUUUCCAAAAUCCGUCAAAAGAAGAUCAUAUUGCAACAUGUUGCUACUUUUAUCGCUUUGUUAAAAUUUUCAGUUUACUUCUCGCGUACAAAAAUUGUCGAUAAAAAGCUACCUUUUAUCGACAAUUUUUCAAGAUUUUUCUGACGGUGAUAAAUUGUUGCACUUAAGAAUAUGUUGAAUCUUGACUUAAAAAAGAUUUAUAGAGAUGUGUGCAUUUUGAACUAAAUUUAAGAAAAUGAGGAAUAAAAAGGAAAUCAUUGAUAUUUAAAUUAAUAAUAUUUUUAUUUUUAAGAGUUCAAAAUGUAGUUAAUAUAUUUAAUAUAUUUAAGCCGAAGUAUAUUAUUAUAAAAAUACAAUUUUAAUUUUUCAUUAUUUUAUAUUAAGGAGUGAUGAUUUCAAGCUUUAUUCUAAUGAUAUAAUAUUCAAAAGAUCGACAUAAUAUUUUUUGAGAUAAUAAUCUCGUUGGAGUAAUGGCUCAAUCUUAAUUAAUUCGCUGUAUUACUUUCGAAAAGUUACGUAUGUCAAAGUUAUUAUCACGGUUGUUUGUCAACAUAGAACAUUCCAGAAUGUUCUGUAAAAGGGUUGUCUUACGGGGAAGUUACUGGCUCUGCUGGAGGGUUACUGUCGUUUUCAAGUUGCACUCUUUCGCAUGUUCAUUAAAGUUGAGAAUUUAUCUGGCAACGCAACAUUCGUUCUCUUUGUAUCUUUUUCCUCCGUUUUUCUUUAUCGUCUUCUAUUAGAUUGUUCUACGUUUGCAAUUAGGAGCAAGUUUUAUAUAAUAUUUUGAUUUGUAUUUAAUUCAUUAUAUACUUUUAUUAGCAUUUCCUAAAAAAAUAAAAACAAUAUUUAAUAAUAAUAAUAAUAAUUAUUAAAAUAAUAAUACUUAAUAAUAAUUAGUAUCGUAUAAAUUUAUUACACGUGUACAAAUUUUAUUUAUAUUAUCUCCAUGUACAAAAAGGAUUAUUUAAAGAGUUUUUCCAUUACGUACAUUUUGCAGAUCCAUAUAUUAAUUCUUAUAAUAAUUAAUACAUAAGUAACUUGUUACAUAAUGAUGCGAUUAUUCAAUAAAAAUUUAAUAUAAAAUCACACAUUUCUAAAAAUUGCACCAAAGUCCGCCAAUGGUGACGAAUGAAAACCUACUAUACAUACGUUAUUUCGCUUCAACGAAACGCCGCCAUCAGACUAACUGACAAUAAGGAAGAGAACCGUGAAACCACCUGCGCGUCGUUCUGUUGAAGACGAAUGAAUGGAAGCUUAAACGAAGUAUCUGCCUUGCUACUAGCAGAAAGCUGAAAAAUAACGCAAUACUUAGCGGAUGAACAAGAGAAACAUGUGAGGUCUGCAGUAAUAAAAAAGAAGAGGAGCGAAAAAAUGGUGGAAAGAGAAAAAAAGGAAAAAAAACUUUUUCUACUCGGUGUGUUUCUCAGUUGAAAAAAGUAUAAUAUGGUAUAAGAUCAUAAUUUUUGGAGUUGGUUUGAUGGUAACAUUUGACGGGAAAUGAGAGACAUAGAAAAAUUAUAAAGCGACGGAAAAUACGCGUACAAAAUUGAGAGAAGCCAUUUUUUUUAAAGAUGCGAAUCUAAGAUAGCGUUAACUAGAUAAACACUAAUAUCAUGCGAAAUUUUUCCGAAUAAGAAUUUCCAUAAAAAGUACAAAUUAAAAUUGUAAUUAAAACGGUACAUGUUGAGAUGAUGAAAAUUGCGCAUAUAGAAGAUGAAAGGGCGAGAUACGGAAGAAGAAUAGAGUCAGUGAAUGAAAAAGAAGGAAGAGAACAGUAGAAGCGGAAGACCAGGAAGAGGAGACAAAUGACCCGAAAUUAUGGUCCAAGGUGAAAAUAUAAAAGAAAGGGGUGCAGCUAUGGUGAUUGAUAUUGGUGGUGUAAGCGAAACGGUAAAAAUACGAGAAAAUCGAACGAAAAGAACCUCGAAGAGAAUAGAGCUGGGCUCGGUGGAUAACACAUGAACGUGCAAAUAGAAUAAGAAAGUGGCGAAAGGAGUAAAUAGAAUGGAAAAGCAUUGUUUAUCACGAGGAGAAACGAAAGAUGAGAGGAGAGAAGGAGGUAAUAGGAUUUAGCUGAAUAAAUUGCUCGUAAGGUUGUCGUGCAAGAAAGCUAAGACAACAGAAGCCGUUUUUUUAUUUUAUUCCCCAUUUUUAUUCAUGCGCGUGUGAGUCAGGCAGUUUAAAAUAAUGAGAGUUCUUAACUUUUGGAUAACUACUUGGAUUGAGAUUGAAUGACUGUUUUCCAGGUCUUUUUUAAAUCGUAAUGAUAAUACAACAUAAGAGGGACAAGGUUGACUAACCAAGACGUAGACUUAACCGCCCGUAAGCCGGAAUAAGUCUGGAGCAAGCUCGAUUACGGGGUGGUGAAUGGCGGAUUAUACGAGAAAGUAAUAAAAUAAGAGUAAACUCUGGAAUAAGCUGGAUUGACUUUAUAUUAAAAUACGUAUAUAGAAAUGAUAAAAACAGAAAGACACUUUGAUGCUGAGGGAUCAUGUGAGAUGAAGACAAAAGUAGUUUUUGUCGAGAGAAGCGUAAAGAGCCUAAUACUUUGCUAGAGUAGAUUUAUGUGGAGAAUUAUAUCGACAACAAAGAGCGAAUGAAUGAAUGAAUGAGUACAAAAAUACAAGGAAACACAACAGUACGAGGGUUCGCGUGAAAGGCGAGAAGUAGGCACGGCGGCUCGGGAUAACUUCUACCUCUCUCUCUCUCUCUCUCUCUCUCUUUUUCUUUCCCUCUCAUUAAGAGAACUAUGCGAAGCACGGAGUGAGCGGGCAAAGCUGAAAGCCAGCGUUUCUCAAAGCACAAGUAGGCUAAAGUGGAAAUACGGGGGCAGCGGUGGCGGAUCGGUUGAAAGAGGGAGGCGGAUGGUGGCGGUGGGUGCAAAAGGGGUAGCAGUGGGAACCAUGACGUCAUCGUUGAGGGUUGCCCGGGCAACGGAAAAUGUUCGCCGCGUCGGGACGCCGACGCGCGUCGCCACCGCCGCCGUCGCCGCCGCCGCCGCCGCCGCCGUAAAAAUCAAUUUAGACCUUGGCUAGGUGACCGCUCCGCGCUCGCACGGCGUUGCUGCGACGCGGCCGCUCCGCUCUCUCUGGCGAGGCACGAGAGCCACGCUUCUCUGGAGGUGCCGGGCUGCCGAUUGCCACCGCCGCACCACCAUCGCGAACCACACGAGCUCGGGGCCACGGGCCAAGCUCUGGUAGUCACGAGCGGCCAACUCAUCGAGCGGGUGCUCCGAAUGUGGUGCUGGCGACAGUGCCGCGCGCGUAAAAGCACAUUACACUCGCUCACACAAUACAUACAUACGUAAGCGUGACACACACACACACACACACACACAACACAUACACACACGCAUACACCACACACAUCAUACGUAUACGUACACGACACACGGUUGUCACGUAUACGUACGGUGACGUCGACGCGUACACGCAGCCACGCGUGCGUACGCAUUGCUCGCGCGCGCGACGCUUCGCACCGCGCAGCGGGAGGAGCAGCGGUGGAGAAGCUCGGGCGAGAGAGCGAUACUCGCGCAUGAAGUAACAUCGGGCACACGGCGAAAGAGAAAAAGAGACAGAGAAAGAGAGGGAGAGAGGGAGAGAGCGAGGGAGAGAGAAAGAGAAAGGGAGAGAGAGAGAGAGAGAGAGAAAGAGAGAAUCGUUUGUGAGCGGAACACAGUGCGCGCAAGCUUGCGGAGAAUAGUCCAGGCGGACGCCUGAGGGGGAAGAUCGACGUGCGAGCUCCCAGUGCCGGAGCUUGCGGAGACGCGCUACCUUCUCGGGAAGAAGUCCAUCGUGGAGGCUUUCGACCGGCUGGCGUGCUUCCGGAAUUUCCGGAUCUGCGGGUCGACACGUCGCAAGGAACGGACACACAUGACAGAUUGAAUGUGUCGCGGGAGAGAAGCACGCGGUGGUGCUUGCGCGAGUAGUCGCGUGCGUUGGUGAGACAGCCUCGUACCAGCGCUCCGGCGGAUUGUCAGAAGAGCCACGAGAAAGAAGUCCGGGACCAUAUGAAGAUAGGCGGUGCACGAAACGCGGAGCGUACGCGAUCGAAAAAAGCUCGCGUGUAUGCUGGUCGGAGUGCCCGAUGAACGAAACUCGCUCGGACAAACGCCUCUUUUUGUUCUGACGCAAAGCACGGCGAAGCUUUCAAAAAAUACGCCGGGAAGCUGCGGACGCUCUUCUUUCGUUGACUGUUUGAUGUUUACUCGUAAGCGUUUUCUCCUCUAUUCUUCGAUAAGUGGCUUCGACAAAGCGUUCUCUAUGCGAAUUUCAACUUUACGAACGUGACCGAGUUGUGCGCUUGGAUAAUACUCGAAGGCUUUACGGCGAGAAACGAAAUUCUUCUAAUCCUCAGCCAAUUAUUGGCAUUCACAAGUGGGAUGGCACUUUGAAGAAAGCUUGUAUACAUACAUACGCUAUCUUAAAUAAUAUUCCGAAAAGCUCUACACGUGAUCUUUACCUACUGCGAAGAGAGUGGAUAAGAAAAAUUUUACAGAAACUUCUAAUCUUCUAGAUUUCUAGAUUUAUUUUCUUAAAUGUCGUGAUCAUCUUCAGCCUUUAACGUCAAAAGAAUUUUGUUACUUGUUAUGUGAACUUGUGAGGUUUAAACGGUGAACCUGGCUCAAUAGAAACACGCAUUGUGUGUCUCGUCGAGCAAUGUCGUCGAUAGCCGUUUUUCCGAGAAGUGCACUCGUAUCUAUGUAGGGACUCGACGGAGAGCUCGAAAGCUUGAGAAUGUAGUAUCCUGGUGGGUGCUUGCUGGCGGAGACUCAAGCUCAGACUCUCGCGGCGGCCAAGUGAACCGAAACAGGUGGAAGAUCUCCGGCGCGAUACUUUGAAGAGUACCACGAAGAGCUAUCGCGUGACUAUCGAUGAUGGUGGAAGGCACGUUGCCAGAACGCGAUUGGUUGGACCGGCGCGCGUCUCUGCUCGGCUCAUGCUUUGCUGCGUGCCGGUCGUCACUUCGUUAAGCACGAUCUUUUCUCGAGAGACCGAGUUAGAGUAAAGGAGAGAAUCGUAAGGAAUACCAAGCACGUGAAAUGAUGAUCUUCAGGAUCGUGUCCGAGCUUAGGCCGUCGACGCCGAUGUCAUCAUCAUCAUCAUCGUCGUCGCCGCCGUCGCCGUCGUCGCCGUCGUCGCCGUUAUCAUCAUCGUUGCGACGUUGGAGAGGUAAACGUUGUUUGGCCAGUUAAUUACAACUUUUCGUUGCGACUUGCGGUCUUAUAAUGCAGUGAGGCGCGACGGGUCUCGGUAAGAGACUGUUUCGGUAAGAGACUGUUUGCAUUUUAAAUAGCGAGAGUGACGAUAAGAGACCUUCGGAGAAACCGAAUUCGUUUUCCCGCGAGAGGAAACUUUGUUGAAAAGAUUAAGUAUACGCAGCCGUGACGAGUAGAUAAAUAAAUAGAUUCGUAGAUACAUAAAUAAGUGAAAUAAAUAGAUGGAAGUAGAAGGGUUGCCGAUAGCAAGGAAGACAUAGCAAGUAGAUCUUGGACUUAAGAGCUAAGAUCAGAUUAGAACGUUAGAAAGUUGAGAAGAACUUGAAUUAAAAAUAGAGAUUUAGCAACGUGAUCGUUCUUUGAGAGAGAUCUAGGCCAGUAGUUGUACUACUGAUCGCGCGGCGGGCUUGAAGAAGCAUGAAUCAAACAAACGUCAGUUCGAGCUGACCUAAGAAGAACCGCGGCAAGAAGCGGCGUAUUUCACGCCACAAAAUUGGAGGGAGAAAGUCUUUAAGUUCAAAAGAUUUAUUGAAUCUGUAUGUAAAAGAAAUAUUUGAAGAGUUGCCAGUCGCAACAUAUAAAAUAAAAAAAUAAAAAAUCCUUUAAAAUUCGUUGCAAGAAAGAUAUUUGAAGUAAUCGACGAACGUUUGAGCGAUGUGCGGUGCCGUAAAUUUCAGUUCGUAAAUGUUCGAACCGGCGAAAAAACGCUCUACACGGUCCAAGGAUCUUAUCCAUCGUCAAAGCAAGUAUCCAUCGCCGUAAGUGAUUGAUGCGGGUCGGAUCAUCGAUGUUGGACUUGUAGAUCUAGGUUGCCACUUCGAAGGGAGAGGAUCCGGAAGUAUAGAAGAUCGAUUUGACGAGAGACAGGAGUAGAGCGUGCCGCUGACGCUUCGGGUACGGUCAACGCUGGCUCUCCCGCUACCCUGAAGGAAGAUUCCACCUUCGAGCAUGGCCUCGGUGGCAGCGUGGCUGCCAUUUGCCCGUGCGGCGGCGAUCGGUUGGGUACCGAUUGCCACACACCCACUGCCACCGCCGCCUAUUCCAAAGGACCGGCGCAAGGCCGACGACGAGAAGCUGCUGAUCAACGUGAGCGGCCGUCGCUUCGAGACGUGGCGCAACACCCUGGAGAAGUAUCCGGACACGCUGCUCGGUUCGAACGAGCGCGAGUUCUUUUACGAUGAAGAGAGCAAGGAGUAUUUCUUUGACCGGGAUCCGGACAUCUUCCGACACAUUCUCAACUAUUAUAGAACGGGCAAGCUACAUUAUCCGAAGCACGAGUGCCUGACGAGCUACGAUGAAGAACUGGCGUUCUUCGGUAUCUUACCGGAUGUGAUCGGCGAUUGUUGUUACGAGGACUAUCGGGAUCGCAAGCGCGAGAAUGCUGAGCGGUUGAUGGACGAUAAGUUGAGCGAGAACGGUGACCAGCACCUCCAGCAGCUGCUCGACAACCGGCAGAAGAUGUGGCGGGCCUUCCAGAAUCCGCACAUCUCCACUGCCGCGUUGGUGUUUUACUACGUCACCGGGUUCUUCAUCGCCGUGAGCGUGUUGGCGAACGUAGUGGAGACCGUGCCGUGCGGCAAUCGUCCAGGCCGCGCCGGUACUCUCUCGUGCGGUGAGCGUUAUAAGAUCGUGUUCUUCUGCCUGGACACCGCGUGCGUGAUGAUCUUCACAGCCGAGUACCUGCUGAGGCUAUUCGCCGCGCCCAGUCGGUGCAAAUUCGCGCGAUCCGUCAUGUCGGUCAUCGACGUGGUCGCGAUACUGCCGUACUACAUCGGACUCGGGAUCACCGACAACGACGACGUGUCGGGCGCGUUCGUGACGCUACGCGUGUUCCGCGUGUUCCGUAUCUUCAAGUUCUCGCGCCACUCGCAGGGACUACGUAUCUUGGGCUACACUCUAAAGUCCUGCGCCUCCGAGUUGGGUUUCCUCGUGUUCUCACUCGCGAUGGCCAUCAUCAUCUUCGCCACCGUCAUGUUCUACGCGGAGAAGAACGUCGAAAACACCAACUUCACCUCGAUACCUUCCGCCUUUUGGUACACCAUCGUUACGAUGACUACGCUGGGCUACGGUGACAUGGUUCCGAAAACGAUUGCGGGAAAAAUCGUCGGGGGUGUAUGCUCCUUGAGCGGUGUUCUAGUGAUCGCUUUACCGGUACCUGUUAUCGUCAGUAACUUCAGCAGAAUAUAUCAUCAAAACCAACGUGCUGACAAACGCAAGGCGCAAAGGAAAGCCAGAUUGGCACGUAUCAGAAUCGCGAAGGCGUCGAGCGGUGCCGCCUUCGUGAGCAAAAAGAAGGCAGCGGAGGCUCGUAUAGCCGCCCAGGAGAGCGGACUGCAGCUGGAGGAAUACUACAAGGAGGAGGAUAUCUUCGAGCUGCAGCAUCAUCACCUACUUCGUUGCUUGGAGAAGACCACGGACCGCGAAUUCGUGGAGAUGGAGGUGCCGUACAACGGCGCCCCGAAGAGGCCGGGCUCGCCAUCGCCCCUGACCUCCCCCGCGCACAGCACUGCCUCCAGGGGCGGCCUGCUGCAGUCCUGCUGCGGGCGCUGCUACCCCCAACGUUACCAGAGCCUGUCCUAUCAGCUUACCUCGAACGAGAGCAAGGACAGAGUGGUGCUCAUAUAUGGAGACCGUAUACAGGUGCGGAAAAAGGACCUAAAGAAGCGCGAUUCCCACAUCUGCGACAUGCAGGCCCUACAGCCACUUCCGGCCCCCACCAACACCGCCAACACCGCGCCCGCCAUGACUACUUCCGGUGGGCAGCCACCGCUCCCAGUAUCGGAGACCGUAUGAAUCACGACGAUUACGAGAACCGAUCACGAUCGUCCGUGUGCGCGAUGCGCUAGCCACGCAUUACCACACCACCAUUCACCUAUAAACUCACCGCCGUCCUCCUCCACACCUGUGCUCGCUGAACCCGAUGACCGAACCAUGGCCGACCACGGUCGAAGCAACGUAUUGUGACUGUUGAUCUCUUUCUACGCUGAGGAAAUUUGCGAUCGCUGCAUGUAGGUCUUCAAAUAAAAACUUGUGCAAGGAUGACUCGGAAUUUACUUGAACAAUGACGAGCGAUCGUAAUGUAAUUGAAAGGUACUUGAACGAAACACAAGUAUAAAUGAUUAAUUUUAUUCUUAUAUCGUACAUUGAUAAAUUACAGCAUAUAUAAGUAAAACAUCUCUUGGCAUUAUAGAUCAUUUCAAAUUGAAGCAUCUUUUAGUCUUUAUAUCUUUCUUAAUGCUUCGAUCCUGAGAAAAUUUUUAAUUUAGUUUGUACUUUACAUUUUUAAAAAGACAAAAUUCAUGCAAAUUUUAUUUUAUACAUAAGUUUUUAUUUUGAUAUAAACUUCUAUAUUUCUUAACGAUUUUUUAUUUUGCUCUAAAUCUUGUUUUCAUUUUCAUAUAUACAAUAAAUAUUAAUUUCUCUCUUGAAGUUAUUACAAAUGUUUUGGAUUCAUCCAAGACGUUAUUUAUAAGCGAGUUAUUGCGUUAUAAGUUGAGAAACGUUGACGUAAAUGCACAAUUUAUUACCAGACAGUAGUGGUCUGCAGUAGUAAUACUUCGUAAUGUGUCAGACAAUAUGCGUCAUUAACUUGUCGCAAGACAUUUAAGUUCGGCUAGUGAACAGAACAGCACUCGAAUGAUGUUAGCAUUACUUUUGGUAACAAUUUCUUAUUAAUAAUUUAGGAAAUAUUAUAUUAUGUUUUUACAUACAUAUUGCAAAAUAUUAUGAUAUAUAUCUUAACAACGAGUAUCAGUUGAAUUUUCAUCUUUGUGAAAUCACUAUUUUUUAAAAAUAUUUUUUUUCAACUAUUUUUUAAAUAUUCUUUUAUUCUACCUUCUUUUAUAAUACUUUUUUUCUAAUUAUUUUUGUUUUAUUUACAAUUAAUACAAAUAUCUUGUGAUUUCGAGUAGCAAUUAAAUUAAAAGUUUCGUAGAAAAUUAUAACGUAAGAGAUGAUUUAUAUUACGCAUAUUUUAUUUCAUAUAUGAUAACCAGAGGUAUAAUUUCAUCAAUUUUAUCAUAAAGUACAAUAUUAAUAAAAUAUUAUCUCUAAAUUUUUUUGAUUUUGACAUUAUGGCAUUGUUAAUACAAAUCUGAGGAACAGGUGAGUAAUUCAUGUGUAAUAAUCAGUGAAUUAAAACAUUCUACGACGUACCAAUAUACAUUGAUUACAUUUAAAUGCAUUUAAAGUUUACAAAUACAUUAUUUCUUAAUGAUAAUCUAAAUAAUGAUUACUAAUUAUGAUUAAUAAAAAAAUGAUUAAUAUAAAUUAGUCGAUGUUUAUGAAAGUUAAAAGAUAUUCUAAAUAUUUUUUAACUAUUUUAUUUACCUAUAUCUAUUAUGUUACAUUUCUUAUAUAAUUUGUUAUAGGAGUUUACUAUGUAAUUUUGUAAUAAACACAGAUCGGUAUUUUUCUCUUUAUCACAAUCUGUCAAAAACACUAACUGUUUUUUCAAUAAACAUGUAAAUUUAAUACCACUCCUACUAAACUCUUUCAUUGUGUCAUACUUUAUACAUGAUAGUUUUUAGCAUAUACUUUUCGUGAGCUGUUUCCCUCGUGAUACUUUUUUCGUAAUUCGAUGUCUUUAAAAGCUCACUCUCGCCGAGUCGAGCAUACGUUUUGUCGAGUUGUAUUACAGGAAUGUGCUCCAAUAGACGACAUUAAGGAUGAAGAACGAGAAGGGGAAAAAAAAUCUGGAAACCUUGUCGAUGUAUAUGGCGGUGUCUCGUCCAUGGCAGCACUGAUUACACUGAACCGUCGGUUGCCUCGUUGGACUCCUACUUCUUUCGGCAUCUGGCCUCAUUGGCGUCUAUGAAAAAAGAAAUUAAAAAUACAACACGAAAGUAAUAAAUAUAGAAAAUUA